CCUUGUCCCCCUCCUGGCUCCAGAAGGGCAGCAUAGGCCCAGAAGCUGCAGGCGUGGACAGAAACGAGGUCUCCCGGGCUCCGGGUGCGGAAGGCUCAGUGGAAACUUUCUGAGUGGUUGUCUUCAAAAGGCCCACCUAGCACAGGACUCCAGAGAAUGCUUCGUUGAGCCCGGAGCAGCUGUCCAGACCUGGUGUCCAGAGUGAUCCAGCAGCUCCACGCAGCAAGCUCCAGAGAUCAGCCACAGACUGGUGCCCCCCCACCCCAGGCAGCAAUCGGCUGCAUCAUGGCCUCACUGGGGCACAGGGACAGUGCAGAGACCUUGAACAAACAUCCCGUCGUACAUGGCCACCAUCCCAGUGUGCAUACAGAAAGAGGCCACCCUGGCCAUUAAGAGAUCAAGGUGAAGCAGGAUAAGGAAGAGAUCUUCCCCAGUGGAAGAGGAUGGAGAAGACCCUCACGGUGUAGCGGCUUCCCCAGAGGUUCCCACACCGCCUUGUGCCCCAGUGGGCUUUGAAGCCACAAGAGUCCUCUUUGCUAAGGUAUUGUGGACUGCAGUAACCCGGAGCGCCCACUAGAGGUCACACCACAACCUCUUUAAAAGGAAUGGUCAGAUUGACAGACGGUGCCUGUAGAUGGGAGAGCUAACGUAGGAGGUAGACUACAUCAGUGCCAGAUCAUGACCCCUCCAUGAGCCCCCAUCUGUAAUGCCAGCUCCCCCAUGUGUAAUCUCAGUUCCAGAAAGCAUCCACCCCUGCCCUCACAGCUGGCUGGCUGCUGUUUCCCACAGGAUGAGAAAAGGCUGGAAAGGAAAGGGAAAGUCUGGCGAAACCACCUGAUAUUUGCUUUAAAGUAUUUCAGGUCUGGAGCUGGACCUCAGAGGUAGGCACCUGCCUGGUGUCACCCCCACCCCUGUGAAAAUGAAACUGUCUCAGAGACCUGUGUGGAGACAUACCAGUCCAUCACUAGUCGCACCGCACCUUCCCAUCUGGACCCCAAUUUCUCAUUCUGACAGGAGGCCACUGCACCUCAGAUAUGUCUGAAGCAGGGUGCCACCCUGGGGGAGGGCAGAAGCCCAAUGGUGGCCACAAAGCAGGAGCGGGCGUUAACUGCAUGCUUUUUAAGUUUCAUAGGUUGCAUAUCUGUGUGUGUGUGUGUUGUGUAUGCAUAGCUAUACACAUCUGUGAAGUCCUGAGGUUGACACUGAGUGUCCUCAAUUGCUC
rnacentral:lncRNA from 1 species